GCCUCAAGUAAUGUGU
rnacentral:rRNA from 1 species